rnacentral:snRNA from 1 species
UACAACAUGCAUACGGUUAAGGCACUGCCACCUACUUCGUGGCAUCUAACC